GAGUUUGAUCCUGGCUCAGGAUGAACGCUGGCGGCGUGCUUAACACAUGCAAGUCGAACGGGAAUGCCACGCUGAUGCGAUUUCGGUCAAAUCAUGUGGCAUUCGAGUGGCGGACGGGUGAGUAACGCGUGGGUAACCUGCCUUACACAGGGGGAUAACACCUGGAAACAGGUGCUAAUACCGCAUAAGCGCACAGGGCCGCAUGGCCCGGUGUGAAAAACUCCGGUGGUGUAAGAUGGACCCGCGUCUGAUUAGCUUGUUGGCGGGGUAGGGGCCCACCAAGGCGACGAUCAGUAGCCGGCCUGAGAGGGUGGACGGCCACAUUGGGACUGAGACACGGCCCAAACUCCUACGGGAGGCAGCAGUGGGGGAUAUUGGACAAUGGGGGAAACCCUGAUCCAGCGACGCCGCGUGAGUGAAGAAGUAUUUCGGUAUGUAAAGCUCUGUCAGCAGGGAAGAAAGAAAUGACGGUACCUGACCAAGAAGCCCCGGCUAACUACGUGCCAGCAGCCGC
rnacentral:rRNA from 1 species